AGUGAACGCUGGCGGUAGGCCUAACGCAUGCAAGUCGAACGGCAGCCCAGUAAGAGCUUGCUCUUACGGGUGGCGAGUGGCGGACGGGUGAGGAAUACAUCGGAAUCUACUUUUUCGUGGGGGAUAACGUAGGGAAACUUACGCUAAUACUGCAUACGACCUACGGGUGAAAGCAGGGGAUCUUCGGACCUUGCGCGAUUGAAUGAGCCGAUGUCGGAUUAGCUAGUUGGCGGGGUAAAGGCCCACCAAGGCGACGAUCCGUAGCUGGUCUGAGAGGAUGAUCAGCCACACUGGAACUGAGACACGGUCCAGACUCCUACGGGAGGCAGCAGUGGGGAAUAUUGGACAAUGGGCGCAAGCCUGAUCCAGCCAUACCGCGUGGGUGAAGAAGGCCUUCGGGUUGUAAAGCCCUUUUGUUGGGAAAGAAAAGCAGCAGGUUAAUACCCCGCUGUUCUGACGGUACCCAAAGAAUAAGCACCGGCUAACUUCGUG
rnacentral:rRNA from 1 species